rnacentral:lncRNA from 1 species
GAUGAGUAUAGUGAUCUCUUCGAGAGGGUGACCAGUGAUUGGAGAGAUGAAAAGAAAUUUUCUGGAGUCAUGAAAAUGUCUCUCUCCAUCUGAGUGGUGUUUGCACACAUUAUACUUUUAGUGAAAUUUGAUUAGGCUGUACAUUGAAGACUGAGCUCAUUUAUGUAAACUGUGUCUCAAUUUAAUAUUUUUUUUGAUAAUAAAAAUGAGUCAGAAUGCUUUUAUUUGCAAUCUUAAAAAAUUUUAAAGUAAAAUAAAACACAAAAACUCACUUAGAAACACCAGUAAGCAAAAAGAGUCAGAAGCGCAACUCCAUUGUGUGUAAAUAAUACUACUAAAGUAGACACGUUAAUUUGCUUGUAAAUGUAGUUAUUUUCAAGGAUCAACAAACUGGUAGCAACAGAGACAUGGGGAUAGCAAGUAGGCAAAAUUUAUCUUUAUAAAAGAUUUUUUUGAUAUAUUUAUAAAAAUAUAUCAAAGUAGGGUUGGAGAUGUAGCUUGAUGACAGAGGGCUUGUCUAGCACACACAAUGUCCUGGGGUCAAUCUGCAUUACUGGAAAGCACAAAACAAAAACACCCCAAUCCACAAAAAACUAUAGACCCAUCCCAACUAUCUCAAAUAAUAAAUGUUACUUGGUUUAAAAAGUCAGUAGGAGGCAUGUAGGCAAAGGUUGCAGAAGAAGGCCACAUCCUUUCUACCCCCCUACCCCUCCUGCCCAUCUACCAGGGGCAAUCUCUUUAUUUGUAGUUUUUUGGCAUGGGAAUGACAUAAAAGAUUUGGGGAAAGCAUAUUUUAAAAACAUCUAGGAUUCUGCAUUUAGUAGUUGCCUGUUGCCAAAAUUCUAAGAGUAUAAAAUACGAACGCUAAACUGGAUGCUGUGACACACGUCUGACUCAGGAGGCUGAGGCAGGUGGAUCACAAGUUCAAGGCCAGCCUCAGCAAUUUAGUGAGGCCCUUUCUCAAAAUAAAAAGGGCUGGAGAUGUAGCUCAGUGUUAGAGUGUUGCCCCUGGGUUCAAUCCCUAGCAAAAAACAAAACAAAACAAACAAAAAAACCCACUAAAAAAGUCCUUCCUCAACCCCCUUCCCCAGAGACUUUCCCUGGAGGUCUCCAUUAUUACCGGUUCUUACAAAUCAUUCUACAGGCAGUCUCUUAUGCCGUUUUAUCUUAAAUUCUUUUCAUGGUUUUCUCCAUGUCUCUAUAAAAUGUGCUUAUAAUAUUGCUUCCAACAUCCACUAUGGCCUUUACCUAUCCUCUUCCUGCGAUGACCGUGAAGAUUCAAGUCCUUUUGAAUUGUGAAUUUUUUAAACCAUAGACCUGUAUUAAUUUUUUUAAGAAAUAAACUCUUUAAAGGGUUUUUAGGUAUCCAACAAACCAAUAAAUGAAACUUACCCCCAAAUUGGGAAACUAACUAACGUUUGGGUUAAGCCAGAGUUUUCACGUCUGAGAAUCUCACAGACGGAGGCACAGGCUGCAAGCGUCGGGCGUGGGCACACGCACCUCACAAGUCCGGGAACUGUGUCCACGCCCUUUUAAAGAGGACCACGCCCUUCCACGGCCCCGCCCCCGAUGGUGAAAGAAGUCAACGUCAGCGCCCACCACAGGCUUUCCUUAAAGGGGAAACCCAUUUCUGUCGUCUAAAAAAGGAGCUUCCUACAGCGCCUUCCCUUAAGGUAAAGCACAACCCCCUGGCUACUUAAAAGGGUAAGGUCCCCGCUGGGCCCCACCUCACCUGCGCGGUUACUUUGUACUCGGUGUAGCCCUUGGCAUGGGUCCUGGGGUCGGAGACCGUAUAAUGCCGUAGAAAGUCAUCCUUCGUCUGGCGAGACAUGACAACCCCGCUACAGCGGGGUUGACCGCCGGCAGGCACCCCCUCCACGCCACCCCCGCCCCUUGCGCUCUGCCUCCUAUCCCGGGCCUGCGCCCUGCUCCUUCCGGCCCAGGGAGCUGGUCGCAAGUGACGACGCUGUUCUCGGACGUAGCACGCGGCCAAGGGAGCGUCUGAAAAGAUCCCUGUUGUUGUUGAAGCGCAAAUGUUGUAAAUUUUGAGAGAAAGGAUUGGUUGGACAGGUUCCAGCUGCUGGUUUUAUUUUUGCGGGGAACUGAAUGCAUCCUAUCGGGGCACCUUUCCGACCUCCAAACUACGUCUCCCCUGUUCCCUUCUUUCAUCCAGCCACCCAACUUUUAUUUAUUAUUAUUAUUUUUAUUAGGUACCGAGGAUUGAACUCCAGGGGCACUCGACCACUGAGCCACAUCCUCAGCCCUAUUUAGCAUUUUUAUUUAGGGACAGGGCCUCACUGAGUUGCUUAGUGUCUCAUCAUUGCUGAGGCUGACUUUGAACUCGAGAUCCUCCUGCCUCAGUCUCCUGAGCCGCUGGGAUUACAGGCGUGCACCAACGCGCCCAGCUAUUUGUAUUUAUAUAAAAAAAAAUAUUUUAAAAAUGUUUUUAGUUGCCAAUGGACCUUUAUUUUUAUUUAUUUAUAUGCGGUGCUGUGAAUCAAACCCAGUGCCUCACACAUGCUAGGCAAGCGCUCUACCACUGAGCCACAACCCCAGCCCCUAUUUGUAUUUUACUUUAAUGUUUUGAGCUGGGGAUCUCCCUCUGUUGCCCAAGCUGGUCUUGAACUCCCACCUCAGCCUCAGAGGAGGUGGGACUAGAGCACUGCUGCGCCCAGCUCAUCCACCCAAUUUUCAUUGUGUUCAGAAUGUGCCAGACCGCCAAAUUCCUCUCUCCCUCUGCAGGACUGGCUGAUGCAUGUUUCCUGUAAGUGUGGGGGCAGCGAAAACAAUGCCAGAGAGGCAGGGUGCUGUUUGGGGACUCUAAGUCACUACUCUUAUGGUUUGAAUUUCCUUUAACUGCUUGAGACCCAGUUUCUCAUCUCUAGAAGGGGGAAAAGGGGUUAGAAGAGAAUCUUCUGCAAUGGCUGCAGGGAAGGAUUUUUGUUUUUGUUUUCGUUACAGGUUUGCAGCCAGAAACAGGUAUGGUGGAAGCCAUCAAGACAUCAAAGGAGGAAAGACAAUUGUCCUCAGUGAACGUGUACAUUUGGGCAGCUCCACCACUACCAGCAAUCCCAUCUACAAAUUUGGGGGAUAAAGAAUCAUGGAAAACUUUGAGAAGGAGGUGAGUGAGAUGGAAAAAGCCUCCUUCGAGUGUACCUGGAUCCUGGAUAAACCGAAACCUGAAUGUGAGCCGAGUAUCAUCAUUGAUAUAUCCCUGUGAAAAUUUGAGACCAACAAAUUUUUCAUGACUAUCAUGGAAGCUUCAGGAUGCAGAGACUUUAUCAAAAACUUCAUGGGCGGGGGUGGCA